UAGGUUGUGUUCAAGCGUACCGAGCCAAUCUGAGCAUCUUCAACUAAGUUAAUUGGUGAUAAAUUGGACAAAGUGUGUUGUGUGUGAUUGUUGGGGGUGGACACUUCCUUCCUAGCUAGUUUCAUUAUCUUGAUCUCAACCAACUUCAAAUCUGCUUCAGUUUUGUUUUCUUUCUGUUCUCUGUAUUUCUGUAUUUUAUUUCCAUAGCAAAUCAACUCCAAAAUUCACCAAAUUUUGUGUGCUAGACUCUUUACGUGUCUAGUAUAUCUCUGUAAAUUUUCGUAUUUUUCUGGGUUGUUUUAGUUAGGUUUUUAGUUUGUUUUUCGACUACAGUUCAGUAGGAGCUGCAGUCACGUUUUUGUGACUUUUGUUGAAGCCUUUAGUUUAUCUUAAUCCUCUGCGGGAGACCCUUAUUUCCCUAUAUUACAAUCGACAUAUUUGCAGGAGAAUAAGGAAAAUAAAUAGCUUCAAAAAGAGCUAUCAAUAACAGGGGAGGAGAUCACCUGUCCGGGUUCUCUGUGUUAGUGCUAGGCAUGAACUAUCAAGUGAGGGAUUUCGCGUCAUCAAAUCAGAGCCAUCCCUAAUUAUCAAGUUCUCCCAGUCUAUCAGAAGGGAGCGUCAAAAGCAAAUCUCCAAGAAUAUCAAUCAACCAGCCACAGAUGGGCUAGAGGUGCUCUGACCAACUAAUGUUUGCUAUAGCAGCUUCCAUGAAACACUGCAACAGCGAAAGCACUCCACAGCCGAACAGAGUAAGCAUCCGGCCAGUAAAGAGGGCAGCACUCAAUACAAGCAGUGUGGAACAGCAGACAAAGUGGAACUUUAGAGCCCCCAAAACAAUUAGAGAUAUAACAACCUGCACCAAGCAACGGUUAAUUAGCAGGACAUUCAUGAUACCCUACAACCCAUUGUCGAACAAAUGACAUGCUAAUAAAAGAGAAUUGAGUGGCAAGGUUGGCUAAUUAAUCAGCACAAGUCUCCUACCAAUAAACACUUUAGUGGCCGACCAAUAGCUUGCAAUCCUUUAUUGCCAAAAGUUUGUUCUGCUAUAUGUUCAUCCAAUAAUGCACCCUGGUAUACCAGAAGCAAA